rnacentral:lncRNA from 1 species
ACAUGUUUCUAUACUACAUCUAGUGUAUGUAAAAUACAAUAGAUCAGAUCUAUUACCUUGCAAGUUAGACGUUCUAACUUUGCUGAUCCGAGCUUGAGGAUGAUGUUGUGAGCCACACAUGCAUCCGGUCUCUAAGAGUCAUCCACACGAGCCCAUGAAUCACGAUCAGAAGUCCUGGUCCAGAAAAUCAGCACAGUAUGCUAGUACUGUGCUGAUCCUUCUUCGAUGGUCGAUUAGAUACCUCCUUCUUCUUGAUUUGGACUCUUCCAAAGAUAAAAAAUAGGAGAAGGAGUUUUAGAUAUGAGACACUCUCAGAAAACUCAUAGAUGGAGGAAGGG